rnacentral:tRNA from 1 species
GCCGGGGUGGCCUAGUCUGGUAGGGCGCAGUCGCUUGUGCGUAUGCCUGGAGUCUUCUUUAAGUUGGUCAGCCUGUGAUCCUUCGGGAUCUCAGGGGUUCAAAUCCCCUUCCCGGCGCCA